rnacentral:rRNA from 1 species
UGACAGUACUCCUACGGGGAGGCAGCAGUGGGGGAAUAUUGCACAAUGGGCGCAAGCCUGAUGCAGCCAUGCCGCGUGUGUGAAGAAGGCCUUCGGGUUGUUAAAGCACUUUCAGUCGUGAGGAAGGUAGUGUAGUUAAUAGCUACAUUAUUUGACGUUAGCGACAGAAGAAGCACCGGCUAACUCCGUGCCAGCAGCCGCGGUAAUACGGAGGGUGCGAGCGUUAAUCGGAAUUACUGGGCGUAAAGCGCAUGCAGGUGGUUUGUUAAGUCAGAUGUGAAAGACCCGGGGCUCAACCUCGGAAUAGCAUUUGAAACUGGCAGACUAGAGUACUGUAGAGGGGGGUAGGAAUUUCAGGUGUAGCGGUGAAAUGCGUAGAGAUCUGAAGGAAUACCGGUGGCGAAGGCGGCCCCCUGGACAGAUACUGACACUCAGAUGCGAAAGCGUGGGGAGCAAACAGGAUUAGAUACCCUGGUAG